GACGAACGCUGGCGGCGUGCCUAAUACAUGCAAGUAGAACGCUGAAGGAGGAGCUUGCUUCUCUGGAUGAGUUGCGAACGGGUGAGUAACGCGUAGGUAACCUGCCUGGUAGCGGGGGAUAACUAUUGGAAACGAUAGCUAAUACCGCAUAAGAGUAGAUGUUGCAUGACAUUUGCUUAAAAGGUGCAAUUGCAUCACUACCAGAUGGACCUGCGUUGUAUUAGCUAGUUGGUGAGGUAACGGCUCACCAAGGCGACGAUACAUAGCCGACCUGAGAGGGUGAUCGGCCACACUGGGACUGAGACACGGCCCAGACUCCUACGGGAGGCAGCAGUAGGGAAUCUUCGGCAAUGGACGGAAGUCUGACCGAGCAACGCCGCGUGAGUGAAGAAGGUUUUCGGAUCGUAAAGCUCUGUUGUAAGAGAAGAACGAGUGUGAGAGUGGAAAGUUCACACUGUGACGGUAUCUUACCAGAAAGGGACGGCUAACUACGU
rnacentral:rRNA from 1 species